rnacentral:rRNA from 1 species
GACGAACCGUCCAAACGUUAUUCGGAAUCACUGGGCUUACAGAGUUCGUAGGCGGUCUGGAAAGUUGGGUGUGAAAUCCCUCGGCCUAACCGAGGAACUGCGCUUGAAACUACCAGACUCGAGGGAGAUAGAGGAAAGCGGAACUGAUGGUGGAGCGGUGAAAUGCGUUGAUAUCAUCAGGAACACCGGUGGCGAAGGCGCUUUCUGGGUCUUACCUGACGCUGAGGAACGAAAGCCAGGGGAGCGAACGGG